AGUAAAUUGGCUGAAUAUAGGCAAUAAAUUGUAAAUUUAUCAAUAAGAGUUAUCUUAUUUACUA
rnacentral:tRNA from 1 species